UUUCCGUAGGUGAACCCGCGGAAGGAUCAUUACUGAGUGAGGGCCCUCUGGGUCCAACCUCCCACCCGUGUUUAUUGUACCUUGUUGCUUCGGUGCGCCCGCCUCCCGGCCGCCGGGGGGCUUCUGCCCCCGGGUCCGCGCGCACCGGAGACACCAUUGAACUCUGUCUGAAGAUUGCAGUCUGAGCAUAAACUAAAUAAGUUAAAACUUUCAACAACGGAUCUCUUGGUUCCG
rnacentral:misc_RNA from 1 species